rnacentral:rRNA from 1 species
UACAGAGGUGGCGAGCGUUGUCCGGAAUCACUGGGCGUAAAGGGCGCGUAGGCGGCCACCGCAAGUCGACUGUGAAAUCUCCGGGCUUAACCCGGAAAGGUCAGCCGAUACUGCGGGGCUAGAGUGCAGAAGGGGCAACUGGAAUUCUCGGUGUAGCGGUGAAAUGCGUAGAUAUCGAGAGGAACACCUGCGGCGAAGGCGGGUUGCUGGGCUGACACUGACGCUGAUGCGCGAAAGCUAGGGGAGCGAACGGG